GGCCUUGGGGUGUUACCACGUGGGGUUGCAAACUCCAAAAAGCAGAAUAAUACCUGCCGGGGCUU
rnacentral:tRNA from 1 species